GGGGUUGUGGCUCAGUGGCAGAGCGCCCGCUUAGCAUGUGUGAGGCUCUGGGUUCGAUCCUCAGCACCACA
rnacentral:tRNA from 1 species